UUGCUAUCUGCGAUAUGGAAGAUUCGAACCUGCCGCAGGUCCGGGUCUCACGCAGUGAGACAACGGAGCCGUUUACGGCGACGGCCCGAAGGGCGAGCGAAGCGAGUCAUCCUGCACGACCCACCA
rnacentral:sRNA from 60 species